rnacentral:misc_RNA from 1 species
CCGAGUUUACAAACUCCCAAACCCCUGUGAACAUACCAUAUCGUUGCUUCGGCGGUUUCGUCCCAUCGCGCACGCGAGUGCCGUGGAACCAGGCGACCGCCGGGGACCCAAACUCUUGUUUCACAACUGUCUCUUCUGAGUGGCGUAAAGACAAAAAAUAAAUUA